UAGGGAAUCUUCCGCAAUGGACGCAAGUCUGUCGGAGCAACGCCGCGUGAGUGAAGAAGGAUUUCGGUUCGUAAAACUCUGUUGUUAGAGAAGAACAGCGCAUAGAGUAACUGUUAUGCGUGUGACGGUAUCUAACCAGAAAGCCACGGCUAACUACGUGCCAGCAGCCGCGGUAAUACGUAGGUGGCAAGCGUUGUCCGGAUUUAUUGGGCGUAAAGCGAGCGCAGGCGGUCAAUUAAGUCUGAUGUGAAAGCCCCCGGCUCAACCGGGGAGGGUCAUUGGAAACUGGUUGACUUGAGUGCAGAAGAGGAGAGUGGAAUUCCAUGUGUAGCGGUGAAAUGCGUAGAUAUAUGGAGGAACACCAGUGGCGAAGGCGACUCUCUGGUCUGUAACUGACGCUGAGGCUCGAAAGCGUGGGUAGCAAACAGG
rnacentral:rRNA from 1 species